UUAAGCGACUAAGCGUACACGGUGGAUGCCCUGGCAGUCAGAGGCGAUGAAGGACGUGCUAAUCUGCGAAAAGCGUCGGUAAGGUGAUAUGAACCGUUAUAACCGGCGAUGUCCGAAUGGGGAAACCCAGUGCAAUUCGUUGCACUAUCGUUAACUGAAUACAUAGGUUAACGAGGCGAACCGGGGGAACUGAAACAUCUAAGUACCCCGAGGAAAAGAAAUCAACCGAGAUUCCCCCAGUAGCGGCGAGCGAACGGGGAGCAGCCCAGAGUCUGAAUCAGCUUGUGUGUUAGUGGAACGGUCUGGAAAGUCCGACGGUACAGGGUGAUAGUCCCGUACACCAAAAUGCACAGGCUGUGAACUCGAAGAGUAGGGCGGGACACGUGGUAUCCUGUCUGAAUAUGGGGGGACCAUCCUCCAAGGCUAAAUACUCCUGACUGACCGAUAGUGAACCAGUACCGUGAGGGAAAGGCGAAAAGAACCCCGGCGAGGGGAGUGAAAAAGAACCUGAAACCGUGUACGUACAAGCAGUGGGAGCACCUUCGGGUGUGACUGCGUACCUUUUGUAUAAUGGGUCAGCGACUUAUAUUCUGUAGCAAGGUUAACCGUAUAGGGGAGCCGCAGGGAAACCGAGUCUUAACUGGGCGUUAAGUUGCAGGGUAUAGACCCGAAACCCGGUGAUCUAGCCAUGGGCAGGUUGAAGGUUGGGUAACACUAACUGGAGGACCGAACCGACUAAUGUUGAAAAAUUAGCGGAUGACUUGUGGCUGGGGGUGAAAGGCCAAUCAAACCGGGAGAUAGCUGGUUCUCCCCGAAAGCUAUUUAGGUAGCGCCUCGUGAAUUCAUCUUCGGGGGUAGAGCACUGUUUCGGCUAGGGGGUCAUCCCGACUUACCAACCCGAUGCAAACUACGAAUACCGAAGAAUGUUAUCACGGGAGACACACGGCGGGUGCUAACGUCCGUCGUGAAGAGGGAAACAACCCAGACCGCCAGCUAAGGUCCCAAAGUCAUGGUUAAGUGGGAAACGAUGUGGGAAGGCACAGACAGCCAGGAUGUUGGCUUAGAAGCAGCCAUCAUUUAAAGAAAGCGUAAUAGCUCACUGGUCGAGUCGGCCUGCGCGGAAGAUGUAACGGGGCUAAACCAUGCACCGAAGCUGCGGCAGCGACACUAUGUGUUGUUGGGUAGGGGAGCGUUCUGUAAGCCUGCGAAGGUGACCUGUGAGGGUUGCUGGAGGUAUCAGAAGUGCGAAUGCUGACAUAAGUAACGAUAAAGCGGGUGAAAAGCCCGCUCGCCGGAAGACCAAGGGUUCCUGUCCAACGUUAAUCGGGGCAGGGUGAGUCGACCCCUAAGGCGAGGCCGAAAGGCGUAGUCGAUGGGAAACAGGUUAAUAUUCCUGUACUUGGUGUUACUGCGAAGGGGGGACGGAGAAGGCUAUGUUAGCCGGGCGACGGUUGUCCCGGUUUAAGCAUGUAGGCUGGUUAUCCAGGCAAAUCCGGAUAAUCAAGGCUGAGGUGUGAUGACGAGGCACUACGGUGCUGAAGUAACAAAUGCCCUGCUUCCAGGAAAAGCCUCUAAGCAUCAGGUAACAUUAAAUCGUACCCCAAACCGACACAGGUGGUCAGGUAGAGAAUACCAAGGCGCUUGAGAGAACUCGGGUGAAGGAACUAGGCAAAAUGGUGCCGUAACUUCGGGAGAAGGCACGCUGGUGUGUAGGUGAAGUCCCUGCGGAUGGAGCUGAGACCAGUCGAAGAUACCAGCUGGCUGCAACUGUUUAUUAAAAACACAGCACUGUGCAAACACGAAAGUGGACGUAUACGGUGUGACGCCUGCCCGGUGCCGGAAGGUUAAUUGAUGGGGUUAUCCGUAAGGAGAAGCUCUUGAUCGAAGCCCCGGUAAACGGCGGCCGUAACUAUAACGGUCCUAAGGUAGCGAAAUUCCUUGUCGGGUAAGUUCCGACCUGCACGAAUGGCGUAAUGAUGGCCAGGCUGUCUCCACCCGAGACUCAGUGAAAUUGAACUCGCUGUGAAGAUGCAGUGUACCCGCGGCAAGACGGAAAGACCCCGUGAACCUUUACUAUAGCUUGACACUGAACAUUGAGCCUUGAUGUGUAGGAUAGGUGGGAGGCUUUGAAGCGUGGACGCCAGUCUGCGUGGAGCCAACCUUGAAAUACCACCCUUUAAUGUUUGAUGUUCUAACGUUGGCCCCUGACCGGGGUUGCGGACAGUGUCUGGUGGGUAGUUUGACUGGGGCGGUCUCCUCCCAAAGCGUAACGGAGGAGCACGAAGGUUAGCUAAUCCUGGUCGGACAUCAGGAGGUUAGUGCAAUGGCAUAAGCUAGCUUGACUGCGAGCGUGACGGCGCGAGCAGGUGCGAAAGCAGGUCAUAGUGAUCCGGUGGUUCUGAAUGGAAGGGCCAUCGCUCAACGGAUAAAAGGUACUCCGGGGAUAACAGGCUGAUACCGCCCAAGAGUUCAUAUCGACGGCGGUGUUUGGCACCUCGAUGUCGGCUCAUCACAUCCUGGGGCUGAAGUAGGUCCCAAGGGUAUGGCUGUUCGCCAUUUAAAGUGGUACGCGAGCUGGGUUUAGAACGUCGUGAGACAGUUCGGUCCCUAUCUGCCGUGGGCGCUGGAGAAUUGAGGGGGGCUGCUCCUAGUACGAGAGGACCGGAGUGGACGCAUCACUGGUGUUCGGGUUGUCAUGCCAAUGGCACUGCCCGGUAGCUAAAUGCGGAAGAGAUAAGUGCUGAAAGCAUCUAAGCACGAAACUUGCCCCGAGAUGAGUUCUCCCUGAGACUUUAAGUCUCCUGAAGGAACGUUGAAGACGACGACGUUGAUAGGCCGGGUGUGUAAGCGCAGCGAUGCGUUGAGCUAACCGGUACUAAUGAACCGUGAGGCUUAACCUU
rnacentral:rRNA from 1 species